UAUAAGUAUACAAAGAAACUAUUAAGGAAUUAAAAGCUAUGUAUCAAAGAGAAUAAUUUAUAACAUAUUUUGUUAUAUAAACUCUAAGAGAAAUUUAAUACUAAACGAAGUGAAUUGAAAUAUCUUAGUAACUUCAGGAAAAUAAAUCAAAAGAGAUUCUAUGAGUAGGGUGAUUGAAAGUAGAGGUAAGCCUAUAAAGUAAAACGGUAUAAAACUGUUUGAAUAAAAUGGGGAACCUUCCUCAAAGGCUAAAUAUGACACAUAAGCAAUAGUGAACUAGUACCAUGAGGGAAAUAAGUGGAAAUAGUAGUUUUAUAAGCAGUUCGAAAAAAAGAACGUACCUUUUGCAUAAUGGGUCACCAAGUUAACAUUAGAUGCGAGUAUAUGCGUAGUUAAACCGAACGUUAAAAUAACGAAAUAGUGUCUAAAGUUAGACCCGAAGCACGGUGAUUUUACUAUAGUCAGGAUUAUAAAAGUCCGAACGGGUGAUUGUUGCAAAAAUCUCCGAAGAACUAUGGUAGGUGUAGUGAAAGACAACACUGACUGUGAUAGCUGGUUUUCUGCGAAACCUAUAAUAGUAGGCGAUUUAAGAAAAUAUCUUAGCAGGUACAUAAUUUAAUCUCAGACAAGACGUGUAAACGUUUUAUUUUGUACAAAUUGGGGGAUCGUGAAGAUUUUAUCAGUGAGUAUGUAGACUCGGAAUGGUAAAGAUAUCUCUUGAAUUAUCAGACAUAGAAUGAUAAGGUUGUAUGUCAAAAGGGAAACAGCCCAGAACAAGAGUUAAGGUUCCUAAAUUAUUAGUUAAGUGAAAUUAAGAAGGUUUUUAUUAAAGUCGACAAGGAGAUAGGCUUAGAAGCAGCCAUAAUUUUAUGACCUCGUAACAGAGCGCUUGUUAAGUUAUAAAAGCAUCGAAAAUUUAACGGAUCUAAACAAUAUACCGAAACCUUGUCUUUUUACAUAACAUAUGUUCACUUAUUGAUAAGAUAUCUUGAUAUGUUAUCUAUCCACAUUUAAGAAUAUGUUAUUAAGCAGAAGGAAAAAAAAAUAGUUUACAAAUAGGCAGUAUUGAGACGUAGUGAGUGCAAGGAAGGUUUGCCUAGUUUGUAUUACAUACUUCUGGUUUAUUUCUUCGGCGCUCGUUCCAGAAGCUCUUUUUUAUAAUAUUAUUGUGAUAAUAUAAUAAUAAUAUUGUAAAAAUAUUGCAUUGUAUUGCAAAACGAAUUAUUUAUAGAAUAUUCUUAUCACAAUAUUGUAUAAAUAUUUGCAGUAUAUUGCAAAACGAAUUAACUAUUUAUAGUAGUGUUAUAGUGGUAAUAAGCUAUAUAUAGUGUUAUAAAUGGUUAAUUUACUAAUUAAAGAGGACUAUUCCUGAUGGUAAAAAGGGUAGCAGAACGUUGAGUGUAAUGAAUAUUAUUUUUUAAAUAGAAUUAUUCUAAUAAUAUAACUCAAGUGAUAAUGGUGACAUGAGUAACUAAAAGAAAAAUUUUCCGCCUUAAGCUUAUGGAUAAAGUUAAGUAACGGCCUCUAAGUUUAAUAUCUAAAGAUUUAAACGAUGAGAAAAUCUUUUUUACUAAGGACAACAUUUUAGUGUAAAAUGUGCUGGAAAAAUAGUAAAUAUAUUUUUUUCUAGUCAGUAUGACUAGAAAACAAAUGAACAAUAACCGUACCUAGAAUCUGCUACAAGUAAGCUAGUAGAGAAUACGAAGGCGUAAAUGAGCUAACAAUCAUAAAGGAACUCGGCAAAUUGACUACUGUACCUUCGGAAUAAGGAGGUCUCGUAAUUCUUGAUUAAUAUCAGGUAAAAGGAAGAAGCAUAAAAUAAUGUUGUACGACUGUUUAAUUAAAACACAGCACUUUGCUGAAAGAUAAAAAAAUCUAAGUAUAAAGUGUGAAAUCUGCUCAGUGCCGGCUGGUUAACAGAGAUUAUUAAAUAUCUUAAUAUUUGAGUUCAACGGAAACCCCGGUUAAAGGCGGCCUUAUCGUGAGGGUCCUAAGGUAGCGAAAUGCCUUGGCCGUUAAAUGCGGUCUUGCAUGAAUGGUGUAACGAUACAACAGCUGUCUCUAUGAUUGACUCAGUGAAAUUGGAAUAGCUGUGCAGAUACAGCUUACCUCUAGUUAGACGAGAAGACCCUAUGCAGCUUUACUGUCACUAAUUAUGGAGUAUGAUAGAUAAUUUUCAGAUUAUAAGGUAAUUGAUUAAAUGACUAUGAGAACCCUUUAUUUAUCUUUCAUAUGAAUGAAUUGGUUUAGGAUUAUAAACAAAUAUAAUUAAGGAAACUUUAUGGCUGUGAAACAGCCACCUUUGUAUUUAUAAAGAGUUUAUAAUAGUAAAUCCACCUAGUUCAGUUUAUUAUUUUUUUUUUUAAUAGUAAAUGACCUUUGGUAAGGAACUAUCGCUAGGAGACAGUUUAUGUGGGGCACAGACCCUGUAAAGAGUAAACAGGAGUGUCUAAAAAUAUAUAAUUAUUUUGUUUGCUAUUUUAAAUAGUGCUGUUAUAACAGUACUAUUUUUAAUCAUAUUUAAUUACUUAUAUUUACGUCUUUGAGUAGGCUGUGCGGUGCAUUCUUCGUAGCACUAAUUUUUUUUAUUAAUGAAAAAAAAUACAGCGGCUACGCGGCGGCUACGCCGCAACAAAAGCUCUACAAUAUAUGCAUGUUUAUACUAGUAAGUGUCUUUAAGGUAAGAUUUUUACUAAGGAGAAAUUAGAGAUAAUUGAAAAUAUUAUGAUUAGUAACCUUAUGCCGAGCUGCUUCGCAGAGUAAGCUAAGGCAAGCUAAGCUAAUAUUUUCUAGCUAUAAUUAUUUUAUAGUUAUGUUUUCAAUAUCUAAAAAGCCCAACGGCUAAAUCUUGCCUUACUGUUUGAUUAUCGACAAAUCUUACAGUUGCGUAAGCAGGGCAUAGGAUCACAAGAUACAAUAAGGAUAGAUCUUGGAUUAUUGGAAAAGCUACGCUAGGGAUAACAGGCUAAUUUGCGCAAGAGUGUACAAAACAAGUGCGCGGUUUGGCACCUCGAUGUCGGCUUAACUUAUCCUCAUGGAUGCAGAAACUAUGUAGGGUGCGACUGUUCGUCGAUUAAAAAGUUACAUGAGCUGGGUUAAAUACGUCGUGAGACAGUAUGGUUUCUAUCUUCUAGGGGGAAUUAGAAUAAAAUAAGAAUAAACUUUUGUACGCAAGGAACAAGAAGAGUUUAACUAGUCGGCUUCGUCGGCUAUAAAAAGUUAAAUUAUAGUUAUUAACCUAUGGUUUACCUGUUGUUUAUGUGCCCAAAUAUUAAAUAUGUAUAUUAUAUAUAUAUAUAUCUGUAUUAUUAUACACAGGGAUGUUUCUUUUACUAAGAUAAAUGUAUAGCAUAAGCACGGCAGGAAAGCUAAGUUAGUUAAAGAUAAGUGCUGAAAGCAUGUAGGCACGAAACUUAUCUUAAGAUAUUUCUUAAAUAUACGUAAUAUACUAUUACGAAAUUUAUAGGCUUUAUCCGUAAGAAUUUUGAAAUUUUUAAGAAUAAAGUACUAAUUUCAUAAUUCACUAGUUAUAUAUAUAUCU
rnacentral:rRNA from 1 species